GGUGGUGAAGAAAAGGAGGAAGACGAUGAACAGUCGCCUCGGAUUUUGUUGAUUCUUUUCUAUUUUCUUUCUUUUAGUUUUUUAGAGAGUGAAGUAGUAGAUUGGAGAGUGAGCCGUUGAGAGUGGGUAGUGGGAAUGAGUGGCUUUUUUCAAUUCUCUUUUUCUUUCCUUUUCCUUCAAGACCGUUAGAGGAGAGAGAUAUGUGUGGGUAGGUGCCAUGUGUGUGUGGUCCACCCUUUGGAUG
rnacentral:lncRNA from 1 species